GUAGGGUGCAAGCGUUGUCCGGAAUUAUUGGGCGUAAAGAGCUCGUAGGCGGUUUGUUGCGUCGGCUGUGAAAUCCCGAGGCUCAACCUCGGGUCUGCAGUCGAUACGAGCAAACUAGAGUGUUGCAGGGGAGACUGGAAUUCCUGGUGUAGCGGUGAAAUGCGCAGAUAUCAGGAGGAACACCGGUGGCGAAGGCGGGUCUCUGGGCAACAACUGACGCCGAGGAGCGAAAGCGUGGGGAGCGAACAGGAUUAGAUACCCUGGUAGUCCACGCCGUAAACGUUGGGCGCUAGGUGUGGGGCUCAUUCCACGAGUUCCGUGCCGCAGCUAACGCAUUAAGCGCCCCGCCUGGGGAGUACGGCCGCAAGGCUA
rnacentral:rRNA from 1 species